CCUACGGGUGGCAGCAGUGGGGAAUAUUGCACAAUGGGGGAAACCCUGAUGCAGCGACGCCGCGUGAGUGAAGAAGUAAUUCGUUACGUAAAGCUCUAUCAGCAGGGAAGAAACACUGACCUUACGGUCAGCAGACGGUACCUGAGUAAGAAGCCCCGGCUACCUACGUGCCAGCAGCCGCGGUAAUCCGUAGGGGGCAAGAGUUAUCCGGAUUUACUGGGUGGAAAGGGAGCGUAGACGGUGCGCCAAGUCUGGAGUGAAAUGCCGCAGCUUAACUGCGGAACUGCUUUGGAAACUGGCGAACUAGAGUGAGGGAGGGGUAAGCGGAAUUCCUAGUGUAGCGGUGAAAUGCGUAGAUAUUAGGAGGAACACCGGUGGCGAAGGCGGCUUACUGGACCGUAACUGACGUUGAGGCUCGAAAGCGUGGGGAGCAAACAGGAUUAGAUACCCGAGUAGUC
rnacentral:rRNA from 1 species